GUGGGGAAUUUUGGACAAUGGGCGCAAGCCUGAUCCAGCCAUUCCGCGUGCAGGAUGAAGGCCUUCGGGUUGUAAACUGCUUUUGUACGGAACGAAAAGCCUCUGGUUAAUACCCGGGGGUCAUGACGGUACCGUGAGAAUAAGCACCGGCUAACUACGUGCCAGCAGCCGCGGUAAUACGUAGGGUGCGAGCGUUAAUCGGAAUUACUGGGCGUAAAGCGUGCGCAGGCGGUGAUGUAAGACAGUUGUGAAAUCCCCGGGCUCAACCUGGGAACUGCAUCUGUGACUGCAUUGCUGGAGUGCGGCAGAGGGGGAUGGAAUUCCGCGUGUAGCAGUGAAAUGCGUAGAUAUGCGGAGGAACACCGAUGGCGAAGGCAAUCCCCUGGGCCUGCACUGACGCUCAUGCACGAAAGCGUGGGGAGCAAACAGGAUUAGAAACCCCGGUAGUCC
rnacentral:rRNA from 1 species